rnacentral:rRNA from 1 species
GAUGAACGCUGGCGGCGUGCCUAAUACAUGCAAGUCGAGCGAACGGACGAGAAGCUUGCUUCUCUGAUGUUAGCGGCGGACGGGUGAGUAACACGUGGAUAACCUACCUAUAAGACUGGGAUAACUUCGGGAAACCGGAGCUAAUACCGGAUAAUAUUUUGAACCGCAUGGUUCAAAAGUGAAAGACGGUCUUGCUGUCACUUAUAGAUGGAUCCGCGCUGCAUUAGCUAGUUGGUAAGGUAACGGCUUACCAAGGCAACGAUGCAUAGCCGACCCGAGAGGGUGAUCGGCCACACUGGAACUGAGACACGGUCCAGACUCCUACGGAAGGCAGCAGUAGGGAAUCUUCCGCAAUGGGCGAAAGCCUGACGGAGCAACGCCGCGUGAGUGAUGAAGGUCUUCGGAUCGUAAAACUCUGUUAUUAGGGAAGAACAUAUGUGUAAGUAACUGUGCACAUCUUGACGGUACCUAAUCAGAAAGCCACGGCUAACUACGUG